AGGGCACCACCAGGAGUGGAGCCUGCGGCUUAAUUUGACUCAACACGGGAAAACUCACCCGGCCCGGACACUGGAAGGAUUGACAGAUUGAUAGCUCUUUCUUGAUUCGGUGGAUGGUGGUGCAUGGCCGUUCUUAGUUGGUGGAGCGAUCUGUCUGGUUAAUUCCGAUAACGAACGAGACUCUAGCCUAUUAAAUAGACGUCGGGUUCUCUGCACUCGACGGUCUUCUUAGAGGGACAAGGUGCUUUAGCACCGCGAAACAGAGCAAUAACAGGUCUGUGAUGCCCUUAGAUGUCCGGGGCCGCACGCGCGCUACACUGAAGGAAGCAGCGUGUAACAACCUUGCUCUAACGAACUGGGUAACCCGUGGAACUUCCUUCAUGAUUGGGAUAGGGGUUUGCAAUUGUGCCCCUUGAACGAGGAAUUCCCAGUAAACACUAGUCAUCAGCUAGUGCUGAUUACGUCCCUGCCCUUUGUACACACCGCCCGUCGCUACUACCGAUUGAAUGGUUUAGUGAG
rnacentral:rRNA from 1 species